rnacentral:rRNA from 1 species
AGAGUUUGACCUGGCUCAGAUUUGAACGCUGCGGCAUGCCUACACAUGCAAGUCGAACGGCAGCACGGGAGCUUGCUCCUGGUGGCGAGUGGCGAACGGGUGAGUAAUGCAUCGGACGUGCCCUGAAGUGGGGGAUAACGUAGCGAAAGUUACGCUAAUACCGCAUAUUCUGUGAGCAGGAAAGCAGGGGAUCUUCGGACCUUGCGCUUUUGGAGCGGCCGAUGUCGGAUUAGCUAGUUGGUGGGGUAAAGGCUCACCAAGGCAACGAUCCGUAGCGGGUCUGAGAGGAUGAUCCGCCACACUGGAACUGAGACACGGUCCAGACUCCUACGGGAGGCAGCAGUGGGGAAUUUUGGACAAUGGGCGCAAGCCUGAUCCAGCCAUGCCGCGUGAGUGAAGAAGGCCUUCGGGUUGUAAAGCUCUUUCGGUUGGGAAGAAAUUGCUUGGUUAAUACCCUGAGUAGAUGACGGUACAAGCAUAAGAGCACCGGCUAACUACGUGCCAGCAGCCGCGGUAAUAC